GGAAGUGGGGAUGACGUCAAGUCAUCAUGGCCCUUACGGCCUGGGCUACACACGUGCUACAAUGGUCGGUCAAAAGGGUUGCCCAAGCCGCGAGGUGGAGCUAAUCCCAUAAAACCGAUCGUAGUCCGGAUCGCAGUCUGCAACUCGACUGCGUGAAGUCGGAAUCGCUAGUAAUCGUGAAUCAGAAUGUCACGGUGAAUACGUUCCCGGGCCUU
rnacentral:rRNA from 1 species